rnacentral:rRNA from 1 species
AACGAACGCUGGCGGCGUGCCUAACACAUGCAAGUCGAGCGGGAAAGUCCGCAAGGAUGAGUACAGCGGCGCACGGGUGCGUAACACGUGGGUAAUCUGCCCUGAAGCUCGGGAUAACUCGCCGGAAGGCGUGCUAAUACCGGAUAAGACCACGGGAGCCUCGGCUCCUGCGGGAAAAGGUGGCCUCUGCAUGCAAGCUAUCACUUCAGGAUGAGCCCGCGGCCCAUCAGCUCGUUGGCGGGGUAACGGCGCCCCAAGGCUACGACGGGUAGCUGGUCUGAGAGGACGAUCGGCCACACUGGAACUGAGACACGGUCCAGACUCCUACGGGAGGCAGCAGUGGGGAAUCUUGCGCAAUGGGCGAAAGCCUGACGCAGCAACGCCGCGUGUGUGAUGAAGGUCUUCGGAUCGUAAAGCACUGUCGGGAGGGACGAAUAAGGGCCGGGUGAACAAUCCGGUUCGAUGACGGUACCUCCAAAGGAAGCACCGGCUAACUCUGUGCCAGCAGCCGCGGUAACAC